AGGCUGACUGCUUUACCUUCUAUGGUCCAGUUGGUGUCUGUUUCACAACAAUUACAUCUGAUAGACACCAGUUUUCUACAGAAAGGGCAGACAAGAAUUGUCAGACACAGAAAGAACCUGGACUAAUAUCAGCUGAGGUUCAAUGAUUUUUCGCAAAGUAAGCGGCACUGUGAACCCGCUACUUAGGUGAGAAAACGAAACAAUCUCUACCUAAGUAGUGCAUCUCUCAAUCAAAACGAAUUCCUUUCUUCCCAGCGGUAAUUUACUGUCCAGAUUUUCAAUACCAUAAGAUUUCCCCAUGUUUUGAGCUUUAUUAAAUUGGAAAAAUAGUCUUAUUUGUAUCAUUUUUGAAACAUUAUUCUACAGAUAAAUUUUGUAUUUUGAGAUUGAACUACUUUUCUAUGGUUACAGUUUAUACAUUUUUAUUGCUGUAUCA
rnacentral:lncRNA from 1 species